GGAUUAGAUACCCUGGUAGUCCUUGCUGUAAACGAUGUAUACUUGGUGUAGCUGGAAUCAACCCUGGCUGUGCCGUAGCUAACGUGAUAAGUAUACCGCCUGGGGAGUACGCUCGCAAGGGUGAAACUCAAAAGAAUUGACGGGGGCCCGCACAAGCAGUGGAGCAUGUGGUUUAAUUCGAUGCAACGCGAAGAACCUUACCCAGACUUGACAUGUAGAGGACGUAUUCAGAGAUGAAUAUUCCUUCGGGUCUCUACACAGGUGCUGCAUGCCUGUCGUCAGCUCGUGCCG
rnacentral:rRNA from 1 species